rnacentral:rRNA from 1 species
GAUGAACGCUGGCGGCGUGCCUAAUACAUGCAAGUCGAGCGAACAGACGAGGAGCUUGCUCCUCUGACGUUAGCGGCGGAAGGGUGAGUAACACGUGGAUAACCUACCUAUAAGACUGGGAUAACUUCGGGAAGCCGGAGCUAAUACCGGAUAAUAUAUUGAACCGCAUGGUUCAAUGGUGAAAGACGGUUUUGCUGUCACUUAUAGAUGGAUCCGCGCCGCAUUAGCUAGUUGGUAAGGUAACGGCUUACCAAGGCGACGAUGCGUAGCCGACCUGAGAGGGUGAUCGGCCACACUGGAACUGAGACACGGUCCAGACUCCUACGGGAGGCAGCAGUAGGGAAUCUUCCGCAAUGGGCGAAAGCCUGACGGAGCAACGCCGCGUGAGUGAUGAAGGUCUUCGGAUCGUAAAACUCUGUUAUUAGGGAAGAACAAAUGUGUAAGUAACUAUGCACGUCUUGACGGUACCUAAUCAGAAAGCCACGGCUAACUACGUG